CCAAUAGCGUAUAUUAAAGUUGUUGCAGUUAAAAAGCUCGUAGUUGAACUUCGGGGUUCACCCAUUGGUCAGGCUUAAUUGUCUGUACUGGUGAGAUGAGUCUCUACCUUCUGAGGAACUUUCAUGCCAUUUAUUUGGUGUGGUUGGAAAUCAGGACUGUUACUUUGAAAAAAUUAGAGUGUUUAAAGCAGGCUAACGUCUGAAUACAUUAGCAUGGAAUAAUGAAAUAGGACGGAUUGAUUCUAUUUCGUUGGUUUCUAGGGUCACCGUAAUGAUUAAUAGGGAUAGUUGGGGGCAUUAGUAUUCAAUUGUCAGAGGUGAAAUUCUUGGAUUUAUUGAAGACUAACUACUGCGAAAGCAUUUGCCAAGAAUGUUUUCAUUAAUCAAGAACGAAAGUUAGGGGAUCGAAGACGAUCAGAUACCGUCGUAGUCUUAACCAUAAACUAUGCCGACUAGGGAUCGGACGCAGUUAAUUUUAUAAUGACGUGUUCGGCACCUUACG
rnacentral:rRNA from 1 species